GUCCAUCCCAGAACUUCCCGAUCCGGUAAGCGUCAUCCUCGCGUAUCCUCACACACGAGGCUACCCCGUGUUUCUGGUCGUGGAAAAGGGAAGAGAGACGCGACGGGCGACGAGCGACGGCGGCGACAGAGCCGACGACGGCGGGGAAAGGAGACGGCGGCGGGCAAAUCAAGACGGCGCCGACGAGAUCCUCCUCCGGCGACUGGUCUCCGCUGGAGGUCCUUUGGUGGGGGCGGCGUGGUUUCCGGCGUUCGGCGGUGAGGCGACGGUUGCUCAUUUGUUGGGUCGAGCAUUUAUUUAUAUGUGUUUUCUUGUUUGAGAAAAUCGUAUGACAAAUUUGCAUGACACGAAGUUUAUGUUAAAGCCGAAGUUUUUAAUUUAGUUA